rnacentral:rRNA from 1 species
GCAUAUCAAUAAGCGGAGGAAAAGAAACCAACAGGGAUUGCCCUAGUAACGGCGAGUGAAGCGGCAACAGCUCAAAUUUGAAAUCUGGCUUCGGCCCGAGUUGUAAUUUGCAGAGGAAGCUUUAGGCGCGGCACCUUCUGAGUCCCCUGGAACGGGGCGCCAUAGAGGGUGAGAGCCCCGUAUAGUUGGAUGCCUAGCCUGUGUAAAGCUCCUUCGACGAGUCGAGUAGUUUGGGAAUGCUGCUCAAAAUGGGAGGUAAAUUUCUUCUAAAGCUAAAUACCGGCCAGAGACCGAUAGCGCACAAGUAGAGUGAUCGAAAGAUGAAAAGCACUUUGAAAAGAGGGUUAAAUAGCACGUGAAAUUGUUGAAAGGGAAGCGCUUGUGACCAGACUUGCGCCGGGCUGAUCAUCCGGUGUUCUCACCGGUGCACUCUGCCCGGCUCAGGCCAGCAUCGGUUCUCGCGGGGGGAUAAAGGCCCCGGGAAUGUAGCUCCCACGGGAGUGUUAUAGCCCGGGGCGUAAUGCCCUCCCGGGGACCGAGGUUCGCGCAUCUGCAAGGAUG